rnacentral:tRNA from 1 species
UGCACGGUAGUUUAAUGGUAGAACGUUAUGAGUAGUAGUUAUGUAACGUGACGCAGACAGCAAAAAAUCUUCUUCCAUCGUAUAAGGGAAAGAUGGAGGUUCGAUUCCUCCCCGUGCAA